rnacentral:rRNA from 1 species
CGGGGUGCAGCAGGCGCGAAAACUCUACAAUGCAGGCAACUGCGAUAGGGGGACAUCGAGUGGCAUCCACCUUGGGUGCCUGUCCAACCGUCUAAAAAACGGUUGUUAGCAAGGGCCGGGUAAGACCGGUGCCAGCCGCCGCGGUAAUACCGGCGGCUCGAGUGGUGGCCGAUAUUAUUGAGUCUAAAGGGUCCGUAGCCGGCUUUGCAAGUCCCCUGGGAAAUCCAGCGGCUUAACCGUUGGGCUUUCAUGGGAUACUACAUUGCUUGGGACUGGGAGAGGUAGGAGGUACUCGGGGGUAGGGGUGAAAUCCUGUAAUCCUCCGGGGACCACCGGUGGCGAAGGCGUCCUACCAGAACAGGUCCGACGGUGAGGGACGAAAGCUAGGGGCACGAACCGGAUUAGAUACCCGGGUAGUCCUAGCCGUAAACGAUGCCCGCUAGGUGUCACGACGGUCGUGAAUCGUCGUGGUGCCGUAGGGAAGCCGCGAAGCGGGCCACUUGGGAAGUACGGCCGCAAGGCUGAAACUUAAAGGAAUUGGCGGGGGAGCACAAGGGCGAUUCGCGG